GGACCCGCACAAGCGGUGGAGCAUGUGGUUUAAUUCGAAGCAACGCGAAGAACCUUACCAAAUCUUGACAUCCCCCUGAAUGCACGGCAACGCGUGCAGCCCUCGGGCAGGGGAGACAGGUGGUGCAUGGUUGUCGUCAGCUCGUGUCGUGAGAUGUUGGGUCAAGUCCCGCAACGAGCGCAACCCUUGUCCUCAGUAGCCAGCAGGCAAAGCUGGGCACUCUGGGGAGACCGCCAGGGACAACCUGGAGGAAGACGGGGAUGACGUCAAAUCAUCAUGCCCCUUAUGAUUUGGGCUACACACGUGCUACAAUGGCGUCCGACAGAGGGAAGCGAGCCCGCAAGGGGGAGCGAAUCCCAAAAACGGCGUCCCAGUUCGGACUGAAGGCUGCAACCCGCCUUCACGAAGCUGGAAUCGCUAGUAAUCGCGGAUCAGAACGCCGCGGUGAAUACGUUCCCGGGUCUU
rnacentral:rRNA from 1 species